rnacentral:lncRNA from 1 species
AAAUAAUAAUUUUUAAAAUUUUGAAUAAAUUUUUAAAAAUUAAUUAAAAUAUUUUGACCAAUCAAAAAUAUAUAAAAUAUUUUUUACAUUUUCAACAGUAUAUUAGGUAUUAUCCAAAUAUAUAUACACACACUCCGAAACUAUACAAAUAAUUUAUAAUUAAAAUUGGCCAAAUUAUACAUUUAAAUCCUCCAAUCUUGAGAUGCGUGACACUUUGAUUCGCAAAUUUUACUUUAUUAUAAUUUUUGACUAUAUCUCGUUGUCUGAUUUAAUUAAUUAAAUAAUAAUAUAUUGACAUAUCAUUUAUUAUAACACGACUACAUCGCUGCAAUAUUAGUGAUGCGUCAUCAUUUAAUUAAUUAAAUUCUACUAUAAAAUUACUUGC